UACGUAGGGACCAAGCGUUGUUCGGAUUUACUGGGCGUAAAGGGCGCGUAGGCGGCGUGGUAAGUCACUUGUGAAAUCUCUGAGCUUAACUCAGAACGGCCAAGUGAUACUGCUGUGCUAGAGUGCAGAAGGGGCAAUCGGAAGUUCUUGGAUGUAGCGGUGAAAUGCGUAGAUAUCAAAGAGGGAACACCCGUAGGAGGUGAAGACGGGUUGCUGGGCUGACACUGACGCUGAUGCGCGAAAGCUAGGGGAGCAAACGGG
rnacentral:rRNA from 1 species